UAUUUUUGUAAUUCAAAUUUGCACAAUUAUGUGAAAAAUGGAAUCGCAGAUAGUGAGACUUUACUUUUUUGUGGACAUAUAUCCUUUUAAAUCAUGGUUCUCAUGUGACGUCACUCUUCUGGGGACUUUGUAGUUUACAGCCGUCUUGGAAGGUAUCUGUAACUGUCAUGAGAGUUGCUAUAGAGUUGCUAUGACCACAAUUAACAAGCCUCACAUUCUCUAUCUCUUACAGCUUGAUCCUGACAGCAGUGAUUUUGUUGAGAUAAUUUUCUCUUGCACAUUGGGUCAAGAGUGUCAAUAUCCUGCGCUUGCCUACCAAAAUGGCGGUUCAGUGGUCACUUCUGGAACUACAGUCUCUUUCCGAGUAAACGGACCGACUAAAGAGAAUCAAUAAAGAGCCAUUAGCUAGGCAAACAGCGCCUGCUCAGAGCUGCGCUGCAGCAGCUGCUCUCCUCUUCCCACAGUAAACAAGGCUGUGUGGGAAUCUCCAAAGACAGAAAGAGCCAAUCCCAGGCCAGCUGAUUUAUCUGCAGUAUGAAGCCUGCAGUGCAAUGAUAAGAUAGAGGAGAUGCAAGACGCUCAGUGCUCAGCAGACUCCAUAAAUCUCUGGAAGAUUAGAGACUGAAACUGUUCACGCAUCAACAGAAAGCGUGUAGCACAGAAUCAGAACUUGAUUUAAUGAUUUAAACAUCUGCUGGAUCAGCUCGAAGCAAAACGUUCAUAAAAACAGCCUCGUGUUUCCCAUCAUCGAAGCGCUGAGGCGGCACGUGACACAAUGCAGCACUGGACAUCAGAUGCUCUGCUCACCCUGCCCUCUGCCUCUAUUGAUUCCCUCAUAAAGCACAGCACUGCUACAUUAGAGCCGGACCAGUAACAACGUUAUACAGGUCCCACUGGACGGCAUCAGAACUGCUCUAGUUGUCUCCCUUCCUCCACAGGUUUGGAGGAAGAGCCAACACCCUGAAGCCCGACUCACUUUGUAACAAACAUGGGAAGAUUCUUGUGUUGUUCUGCAUCUUACCUGAUUUGUCCCACUUUAUCCACAGUACUGUCUGAAAAGUAUGCGUCUUCUAAGAGGUAUCCUCCAUUUUAUGCAGCUUAAAGUCACAUGUCAAUUGUUUUUAAAUCCAGACAUUCAAAAAUCGUAAUUUUUUAGCAAUUCAGAGGCGAGUCAUUGUACCUCUGUAUGACUUAAGUCAGGGUAACCCAAAGUGGGUCCUCGAGGGCCGGCAUCGUGCAUGUUUUAGUUCUCUCCCUGGUUUAACGCAC